CAUGCGUAUUCUCUUCUUUACCUCGGUAUCAAGAUCCGAAUUUAACUACUCUGUGCACCUUUCAACUACUUAAUUCUAUUUCAAGUGAACUAAUUAAAUUUACUCCAUCGCUCUUUCACAGCAGCGGCUUUAUUUGCUGAGGAAGCCAGAUGGGAGUGGGGUGGACCUGUCUGCGCAUGACAUUAGUCCUGAUUUAUGAAACCAUCCGAGUCUGUGCAAGUGCAGGUCUUAUUGCCAUUGGCCUCCCCUCCAACCUCAAGAAUCAUUGAAUUCUAUUCAGUGAAAUAAAUUGAUGUCCU